AUGUUAGACCACAACUUGAACGUCAUUAGCUGGUAUGUGAGGGGACUCAACUGUCCGGACCGUCGAGCAACCGUGCAUGAGGCCAUUGCCGCAUCCUCUUGCAAUCUCCUGUGCAUUCAGGAAUCCAAACUGGCCGUGCUAGACGACGCUUCUACCGCCUACAUUGGUGGUUUCCUCCUGAAGAAAUACGCCACACUGCCGGCUGUAGGCACCAGGGGUGGGAUCAUACUUCUGUGGGAUGGAGACUGUCUUGACACCUCGGAUAUUUCGUUGGGUGAGUUCCACCUCUCAGCUACGAUAAGGCUGCUUGAGUCCGAGGUCGUCUUCAAGCUCACUACCGUCUAUGGGCCAACAGCUAGCUCUCGCAAGGAUGAUUUCUUCACCGAGCUAAUAGCGCAAAAGCCGGCGGCGGGACUCCUCUGGCUGGUGAAUGGCGACUUCAACCAAAUCCACAGGGCACGUGACAAGAACAAGCGGAACGCUAACAUAUCGCGCAUAAACCGGUUCCGCAACAUACUGAAUGUUUGUGAGCUUAAGGAGAUCCACUUACAGAAUCGCAAAUUCACGUGGAGUAACGAGCGCUCUAACCCAACCCUCUGCAAGCUGGAUAUCUUCUUCUGCAACCCUGAAUGGGACCUUCAGUUUGGCUCUCAUGUGUUAUCUGCUCUGGCAACCUCGCUCUCUGACCAUUGCCUGCUGUCUCUUUCGAGUGAUCGCGGCCCCAGGCGCCCUCGGAAGUUCAAGUUCGAGAACUAUUGGAUUAAGCUCCCCGGAUUCGGGCAGGUGGUGGCCGACUCCUGGGCCAGGUCCACAUCACACACGGAGCCUUGCCGAAUUUUGCCUGAGAAGUUGCGGCGCACUGGGAUGGCGCGGAGACAAUGGAGUAAUGGGUUCUUCUCACACGCGAAGCUGCAGCUCGCCAUGGCCUCGGAGGUUAUCCUUAGAUUGGACAUGGCCAUGGAUCUCCGUCCGCUGUCGACGGAAGAGCGUGACCUUAGAAUGAGACUCAAGAGACGGGUGAUAAGCCGAGCGGUGUUGGAAAGAGCUAGGAAGCGGCAGGCUUCUCGGGUUGCGAAUCUAAUGGAUGGGGACGCGAACACCAGGUUUUUUCACCUCAAGGUUAACGCGAGAAGAAGAAAGAAUUUCAUCCGCCGCGUACGGAAUGGAGCCGGUUGGGCUACGGCCCAGGAGGACAAGGAAAGGGUGGCCCAAGAACAUUUCUCGGCCAUGCUUCACAAGGACGUACGCCCGUCGAAGGAUUUCAACUGGGACAAUUUUGCGUUCAGUCAGUGUGAUUUGGCUUCCCUUGCUGAGCCUUUUGAGGAGAAAGAGGUGCUGGCACUACUAGGAAAACUAGCAUUAACGAUGAUGUCCCAUAAACGCUUGGUCGUUAAACAUUAG
rnacentral:rRNA from 1 species